rnacentral:rRNA from 1 species
UACGUAGGGUGCGAGCGUUGUCCGGAAUUAUUGGGCGUAAAGAGCUCGUAGGCGGUUCGUCGCGUCGGCUGUGAAAUCCCGAGGCUCAACCUCGGGUCUGCAGUCGAUACGGGCGGACUGGAGUUCGGCAGGGGGAGACUGGAAUUCCUGGUGUAGCGGUGAAAUGCGCAGAUAUCAGGAGGAACACCGGUGGCGAAGGCGGGGUCUCUGGGCCGUAACUGACGCUGGAGGAGCGAAAGCAUGGGGAGCGAACAGG